AGCAGCCGCGGUAAUUCCAGCUCCAAUAGCGUAUAUUAAAGUUGUUGCAGUUAAAAAGCUCGUAGUUGAAUUUCGGGAUCAAUAUGUCGGUCGUGCCUCGGUACGUACUGGCGUAAUUGGUUUCUCCCUUCUGAAGAACCUCGAUGUCAUUAAUUUGGUGUCGUGGGGAAUCAGGACUGUUACUUUGAAAAAAUUAGAGUGUUUAAAGCAGGCUCGCGCUUGAAUACAUUAGCAUGGAAUAAUGAAAUAGGACGUUUGAUUCUAUUUUGUUGGUUUCUAGGAUCGACGUAAUGAUUAAUAGGGAUAGUUGGGGGCAUUAGUAUUCAAUUGUCAGAGGUGAAAUUCUUGGAUUUAUUGAAGACUAACUACUGCGAAAGCAUUUGCCAAGGAUGUUUUCAUUAAUCAAGAACGAAAGUUAGGGGAUCGAAGACGAUCAGAUACCGUCGUAGUCUUAACCAUAAACUAUGCCGACUAGGGAUCGGAUGAUGUUGAUUUUUUAAUGACUCAUUCGGCGCCUUAA
rnacentral:rRNA from 1 species